rnacentral:rRNA from 1 species
UACGUAGGGUGCGAGCGUUGUCCGGAUUUAUUGGGCGUAAAGAGCGUGUAGGCGGCCAGGUAGGUCUGCUGUGAAAACUCGAGGCUCAACCUCGAGACGUCGGCGGAAACCAUCUGGCUAGAGUCCGGAAGAGGAGAGUGGAAUUCCUGGUGUAGCGGUGGAAUGCGCAGAUAUCAGGAGGAACACCAAUAGCGAAGGCAGCUCGCUGGGACGGUACUGACACUGAGGCGCGAAAGCGUGGGGAGCGAACAGG